AUCAUUGAGAAGAGGAAGAAGAUGGAGGCAGACGGGGUGGACGUGAAGAGACCAAAAUACUAAAGACGUCUGUUUGGUUCCUUCUCCUGCGUCUCAUCAUAAUCAGUUGUUGAUCUGUUGUUGUUGUUUACAGUAAACGGAAACAGAUCCUCUGAGGACAGGAAGUCUAUCUGAAGAUGAUCUUGAGUUUGUAACAGUAAUCUUUGAAAAUAAAAACGUUUGAUCCCA